UGCCCAUAGAUUUGCAGGAUCGUCGUUCUGUUAAUCCGCAGGUCCCUGGUUCGAGUCCGGGUCGGGGAGCCA
rnacentral:tRNA from 1 species